rnacentral:rRNA from 1 species
GACGAACGCUGGCGGCGUGCCUAAUACAUGCAAGUCGAGCGCAGGAAAUCGACGGAACCCUUCGGGGGGAAGUCGACGGAGUGAGCGGCGGACGGGUGAGUAACACGUAAAGAACCUGCCCUCAGGUCUGGGAUAACCACGAGAAAUCGGGGCUAAUACCGGAUGGGUCAUCGGACCGCAUGGUCCGAGGAUGAAAGGCGCUCCGGCGUCGCCUGGGGAUGGCUUUGCGGUGCAUUAGCUAGUUGGUGGGGUAAUGGCCCACCAAGGCGACGAGGCAUAGCCGACCUGAGAGGGGGAGCGGCCACACUGGGACUGAGAAACGGCCCAGGCUCCUACGGGAGGCAGCAGUAGGGAAUCUUCCACAAUGGACGAAAGUCUGAUGGAGCAACGCCGCGUGAACGAUGAAGGCCUUCGGGUCGUAAAGUUCUGUUGUAAGGGAAGAACAAGUGCCGCAGGCAAUGGCGGCACCUUGACGGUACCUCACCAGAAAGCCACGGCUAACUACGUGCCAGCCGCCGCCGUAACAC